GGGAACUAAAGGUACUUUAUGUCUGCUUCUGACAUCAGUCUCUGCACUUUCCUGUGACAGAGCAAGUCUUUUCUAGGCAGGCUCUGUGGGGUAAUUGAAUUAAGAGAGCCUGUGAUCAGCUCUGCUUCUAUUUUUAAGUUCCAGAACUUACAGACAAGGAUUUCUUUUCUCAAAAAGUUCGAUAAAAAGGACGAGGGUUGAAGAAGUUUGAAGACCGACCUCUUCCUGCCUCCCCACAGCCCUUCAGUCUUCUUCUUACAUCAAGGUUAUGGCUAACAGACAGCUCUCAGGGAGGGACCUGCUCUGUGAAGACUUUCCUCCUUCUUUCUGUCAGAGGCAUCUUGAUAGGGAAGCUGAAGCAUGGGGGAAUAGCUUUUCUUUGUGGAACAACCCUGCUGUGUGCUUCUUUGUCCCUAUCCUUGCCUCUCCAUAGAAGACAGGCUGUGUGUGGACCACGUGCGUCUGUCGGACCACGGGAACUCUCCUGCUGUUUUAACUGUUUGUGGCUAAGAGUCCCUGAAAAAUCUUCAGCAGAAACAUGGAUGAAGUGCUCCUGGUGCAGUCUUUUACUCUCCUGUGUAGCUUUUUAUGAUAAAACAACUGUUUUAAGGAUGACCAUAGGAAAAUGUCUUGUUGCAAGUGCAAGCACCAAUUCCCUGCAUGGAGGAGAAGGACUUCUGCAGCCAAUUGCUGAUGGUUAAUAAGAGCUGGGUGCUGUCAACAUCAGUGUGCCUUCAUGAGGAGCUGGAAGUAUUGUCUUAUAGGGGGGUGGCUGCAUUUGGAUCCCAUGAUUUAUCAGUUGGAAGUACACAGGAAACAAGUAAGUGAUGGGUAUGUUACAACUAUUUUAAAAUUGCUUUUUUGCAUUUUUUUUUUCUUUUCUGUUGGCCUGGCUUUUUUGGAAGCAUAUGAAUGCUCUCAAGGUGGGAGGUCUUCACAGUUUGGACUCUUUUUUAUUUAUCAAAGUUUUUAUCAUUAUGUGAUCAACUAAAUCUGAGAUGUGGAACCAGUUAUAAAACAUAAAGAGACUUGGGUAGUCUGUAAGUGUUUUUUCAGCCAUUGCCAGGAAGGUUAAAUAGGAGCAGAUGGUGGUGGGGGGUAGUCAGGAGGAACAGUAGGUUGUUCCCAAAAGAAUGAGGCAUGGAGAUUGACUUUAUGGAUGUAAUGAAGAAGUCACAGCAGGAUUUCUGGGGGUUGUAGCAUAAAUAAUAAUCUCUUGGGCAUUACACAUACCACAUAUUUAAUAGCCUUUGGAGGAAUUGCCUAUUUUGUUGGCCAGUUGUGAACUACUUAUAUUGAAAGACAUUAUUCCUCCUGAAGGAGACUUUCUGUGUCUAAUCAGAUUAUGGCACAAAGAUCUUUAGUCCUUUCCAGCAUUUGGGAAAAAAUACUAUUUCCCACUACAUUUCUAUACUUAAUUCUUGAGCCUGCCUUAGAUCUGUGGCCUGUUAUUUCCUAUAUAUAGCCUAUUUAUAAUCCCAGUUAGAGCUAUUACAGCUGCUUCAAUGCCAAAGGAAAAAAAUCAAACACAAGAUUAUUAAAUCUAAUUUUCUUCCCUUCAUGUAAAACAAAAAUACAAUGUUAUUCAAGCUAAGGCAAAAAUGUGGGAGAAGUUGAAACAAUUUAGGCUGGCUCAUCUGUUUCUAAUUUAACCAAUAACCUUCCAAAAUUCCUCAGAACUGUAUGUUUUACCUUUUUCAAUGGGGAAAACAUCAAUGGUUUGGAAGU
rnacentral:lncRNA from 1 species